rnacentral:rRNA from 1 species
GACGAACGCUGGCGGCGUGCUUAACACAUGCAAGUCGAGCGGUAAGGCCCUUUCGGGGGUACACGAGCGGCGAACGGGUGAGUAACACGUGGGUGACCUGCCCUCAGCUCUGGGAUAAGCCUGGGAAACCGGGUCUAAUACCGGAUAUGACUCCAUGACGCAUGUUGUGGGGUGGAAAGCCUUGUGCGGCUGAGGAUGGGCCCGCGGCCUAUCAGCUUGUUGGUGGGGUGAUGGCCUACCAAGGCGACGACGGGUAGCCCGCCUGAGAGGGCGACCGGCCACACUGGGACUGAGACACGGCCCAGACUCCUACGGGAGGCAGCAGUGGGGAAUCUUGCGCAAUGGGCGAAAGCCUGACGCAGCGACGCCGCGUCAGGGAUGACGGCCU